GGGCGGAGCCGGGCAGCGCUGCGCAUGCGCACUGGCUUUACGCGCGCAGUGCGGUGCUCGGCGGGCGCCGUUCCGCGGGGCCGGCCCGGCCGUGCGGGGCCGCCGCGGUGCCCCGGAGCGGCUUGGAAGCGCCAGGCGCGGGUCCCGGCCGCGGCAGCGGCGGGCGAGGGUUGUGCUGACAAUGGAGGAGGGCGGCUGUUGCUGUGGCUGCAGCGAGGUUGAAGGAGCACUCGUGAGAAGUUUCCCAUUUGGAAUUGGGCUCCUGAAGAAAGGAACCUGAAACUGCUGUUUCUGAUAAAUCCCCCAGGGAAAAGCUGGAGAAAAGGUGGAGAGAGUGGCAAGCGGGAAUCCCAUGUUUAGAUCUGCCCUUGGAUUCCAGUUCCUCCUGGGGGGUCUGUGCUGCCCAAAGAACAAAGGAAGGAGAUGUUGGAGUACCUGUUUGUUCCCCUGUUGAGCUUGGAAGAGAUGCUGAGGGUGAAAUUCCAGGGAAGCUGCGCUUGCAGAGCGACUGGAGUGUGAAGCAGUGGCAGCUGUUUGCCGUGGACCGGUUUCCCUCCUUCACUUCGGUUCCCUGGUAUAACAGCUGGGGAUGGGGUCAGCGGCUCUGACCCAGGAAGAGGUGACCGGUCCGGGGAGAUGGUCCCGAAAGGAAUCGCCUUCCCGAGGGCCGGUGUCUUCCCUCAGCCGGUGGCAGGAGGGCCCUUGCAGAGACUGUCAGCUCUUUAGUGAUGAUCAGCUCGUGAUUCCAGCUCAGCUCUGCAGGGCAGCCUCCAGGCCAAGCCAGACCAGAGAGAGAGACGAUGGCUGGUUCCGCACAGAGGGAGUUCUGCUGGGCGAUUGCGAAAUCUCUUAUUUCAGCAGAGAUCCCUCCAGGGGAGUGGCUGGGCAUACCCCACACCCUGGCACUCCAGUGUCUGCUGCAUUGGGUGUCCCAAGGAAGGCUGGAUUCCUCAGCAGGAGUCUUAGGAAUUGGUGCUAA
rnacentral:lncRNA from 1 species